rnacentral:rRNA from 1 species
GACGAACGCUGGCGGCGUGCUUAACACGUGCAAGUCGAACGGAAAGGCCCUGCCUUUGUGGGGUGCUCGAGUGGCGAACGGGUGAGUAACACGUGAGUAACCUGUCCCUGACUUUGGGAUAACUUCAGGAAACUGGGGCUAAUACCGGAUAGGAGCUCCUGCUGCAUGGUGGGGGUUGGAAAGUUUCGGCGGUUGGGGAUGGACUCGCGGCUUAUCAGCUUGUUGGUGGGGUAGUGGCUCACCAAGGCUUUGACGGGUAGCCGGCCUGAGCGGGUGACCGGCCACACUGGGACUGAGAUGCGGCACAGACUCCUACGGGACGCAGCGGUGCAGAAUAUUGCACUAUAGGCGGGGGCCUGAUGCAGCAAAGCCGCGUGCGGGAUGACGGGAUUCGGGUUGUAAACCACUUUCGCCUGUGACGAAGCGUGAGUGACGGUAAUGGGUGAAGAAGCACCGGCUAACUACGUG